rnacentral:lncRNA from 1 species
GCCGCACCGUGGAGUAUUACGCAGCCAGAAACAGGACGGGACUUCUGACCCGGGCGCAGCAAGGGUGGCUUCCCCUCUCUGAGCCUCCUCAUGCACCCGUCACCUCUGGGCCCCAUCAAGAAAUCCAUCUGCCUCCUAGUUCCAUGUGGU